rnacentral:rRNA from 1 species
GAUGAACGCUGGCGGCGUGCCUAAUACAUGCAAGUCGAGCGAACAGACGAGGAGCUUGCUCCUUCGACGUUAGCGGCGGACGGGUGAGUAACACGUAGGUAACCUACCUAUAAGACUGGGAUAACUUCGGGAAACCGGAGCUAAUACCGGAUAAUAUUUCGAACCGCAUGGUUCGAUAGUGAAAGAUGGCUUUGCUAUCACUUAUAGAUGGACCUGCGCCGUAUUAGCUAGUUGGUAAGGUAACGGCUUACCAAGGCAACGAUACGUAGCCGACCUGAGAGGGUGAUCGGCCACACUGGAACUGAGACACGGUCCAGACUCCUACGGGAGGCAGCAGUAGGGAAUCGUCCGCAAUGGGCGAAAGCCUGACGGAGCAACGCCGCGUGAGUGAUGAAGGUCUUCGGAUCGUAAAACUCUGUUAUUAGGGAAGAACAAACGUGUAAGUAACUGUGCACGUAUUGACGGUACCUAAUCAGAAAGCCACGGCUAACUACGUG